UCGCGGCCCUUUUAGCUUGUUGGUGAGGUAAUGGCUCACCAAGGCGACGACGGGUAGCCGGCCUGAGAGGGUGACCGGCCACACUGGGACUGAGACACGGCCCAGACUCCUACGGGAGGCAGCAGUGGGGAAUAUUGCACAAUGGGCGAAAGCCUGAUGCAGCGACGCCGCGUGAGGGAUGACGGCCUUCGGGUUGUAAACCUCUUUCAGUAGGGAAGAAGCGAAAGUGACGGUACCUGCAGAAGAAGCGCCGGCUAACUACGUGCCAGCAGCCGCGGUAAUACGUAGGGCGCAAGCGUUAUCCGGAUUUAUUGGGCGUAAAGAGCUCGUAGGCGGUUUGUCGCGUCUGCCGUGAAAGUCCGAGGCUCAACCUCGGAUCUGCGGUGGGUACGGGCAGACUAGAGUGAUGUAGGGGAGACUGGAAUUCCUGGUGUAGCGGUGAAAUGCGCAGAUAUCAGGAGGAACACCGAUGGCGAAGGCAGGUCUCUGGGCAUUUACUGACGCUGAGGAGCGAAAGCAUGGGGAGCGAACAGGAUUAGAUACCCUGGUAGUCCAUGCCGUAAACGUUGGGCACUAGGUGUGGGGGACAUUCCACGUU
rnacentral:rRNA from 1 species